AAAAACCAGGACACUCACCAUCAGCUGGGCUGCCACCACAACACUGCGGUUGCAGACUUGGAAGUAUCCCACUGUAGUUACACUUGAUUCUGCAAAGGUUCCUGUGGAACUGAAGCACAUGUCAUAUUCUUGGUCAGCUGGGAAUGCCCUGUGCAAUCACAUGGUGGCACUUCUGUUUCCAACUGCUCACUACAGUACUAUGGACUUCAAGACAGUGCCAUUGCCUCUGUCGUGCUCCAGCUCACUGCAGACCUGGCACCGGCCAAGGACACGGAGGCUACAAAUGAUAUGGCAGUGUGUAAACCAGUGGAAAGGACAAAAAAUGGGGUCAGGACUGGUGUGAAGUGCACACUGUACAGAGCAUAUGUCAGUCCUCUUCCAGAUCAUCGCGUCAUGGCCAGCGGGGAGAAACUGAAAGACAUGCGUCCACAACCAGGGAUAUGCAAGUUGCUGCACGGGCUUGACAACCUUACUUUGGUGGACUCUAAAUUUGGCCCUGUUCCAUUUAGUCUGUGGUCUGUGCUUUCUUAUCAAUGCCCUCCUGAAACAAGCAGAGACAUUAUUAAACAUCCAAGUUCCCUUGA